rnacentral:rRNA from 1 species
GCGUAAUAGCUCACUGGUCGAGUCGGCCUGCGCGGAAGAUGUAACGGGGCUAAACCAUGCACCGAAGCUGCGGCAGCGACACUAUGUGUUGUUGGGUAGGGGAGCGUUCUGUAAGCCGUUGAAGGUGUGCUGUGAGGCAUGCUGGAGGUAUCAGAAGUGCGAAUGCUGACAUAAGUAACGAUAAAGCGGGUGAAAAGCCCGCUCGCCGGAAGACCAAGGGUUCCUGUCCAACGUUAAUCGGGGCAGGGUGAGUCGACCCCUAAGGCGAGGCCGAAAGGCGUAGUCGAUGGGAAACAGGUUAAUAUUCCUGUACUUGGUGUUACUGCGAAGGGGGGACGGAGAAGGCUAUGUCAGCCGGGCGACGGUUGUCCCGGUUUAAGCAUGUAGGCGGAGGUUCCAGGUAAAUCCGGUACCUUGUUAACGCUGAGGUGUGAUGACGAGGCACUACGGUGCUGAAGUGAUAAAUGCCCUGCUUCCAGGAAAAGCCUCUAAGCAUCAGGUAACACGAAAUCGUACCCCAAACCGACACAGGUGGUCAGGUAGAGAAUACCAAGGCGCUUGAGAGAACUCGGGUGAAGGAACUAGGCAAAAUGGUGCCGUAACUUCGGGAGAAGGCACGCUGAUAUGUAGGUGAAGCCCCUGCGGGCGGAGCUGAAAUCAGUCGAAGAUACCAGCUGGCUGCAACUGUUUAUUAAAAACACAGCACUGUGCAAACACGAAAGUGGACGUAUACGGUGUGACGCCUGCCCGGUGCCGGAAGGUUAAUUGAUGGGGUUAGC